rnacentral:misc_RNA from 1 species
UGCGGCUGGAUCCCCUCCUUUCUGGAGCAUCGAGUAGAGGCCGGCUUGCCUGGCCAUCGAAAGAUCUCUGGUGUCGCCCGCACUCUCCGUUCGAUUUCCGAUUCGCGUCGCUUGUCUCAGUGGGUGCCGGCCCUGCGGGGCCGGCUGCUCUUUGACAAUCGAAGGACGGAUGGUGUGUGCGUACCGGGGUCUCCCCGGUGCGCCAUUGAGAGGAAUCUUUGCCGUUCGACGUGUCCAUCGCGUGGACGCUGUCGACGAACAAGUUUGAGAUCAAACGCAAUAAGGCACACGGUGGAUGCCUUGGCAUCGAGAGGCGAUGAAGGUCGCGGUAAGCUGCGAUAAGCCUGGGGGAGCUGCACACAAGCUGUGAUCCCAGGAUGACCGAAUGGGGAAACCCGG